rnacentral:rRNA from 1 species
UGGGGAAUCUUGCGCAAUGCGCGAAAGCGUGACGCAGCAACGCCGCGUGGGGGAAGAAGGCCUUCGGGUUGUAAACCCCUUUCAGUUGGGACGAAGGUCUGCCCGUUAACAGCGGGUUGGACUGACGGUACCUUCAGAAGAAGCCCCGGCUAACUACGUGCCAGCAGCCGCGGUAAUACGUAGGGGGCAAGCGUUGUCCGGAAUCAUUGGGCGUAAAGAGCGUGUAGGCGGUUUGGUAAGUCCGCUGUGAAAGUCCAGGGCUCAACCCUGGAAUGCCAGUGGAAACUGCCAAGCUAGAGUCCGGAAGAGGCGAGUGGAACUCCUGGUGUAGCGGUGAAAUGCGCAGAUAUCAGGAAGAACACCAAUGGCGAAGGCAGCUCGCUGGGACGGUACUGACGCUGAGACGCGAAAGCGUGGGGAGCAAACA